AAGUCGAACGCGAAAGUCCCCUUCGGGGGACAAGUAGAGUGGCGCACGGGUGAGUAACACGUAGGUAAUCUACCUUCGGGUGGGGAAUAACAACCGGAAACGGUUGCUAAUACCGCAUAAUGCAGCGGCACCUAAUGGUGACAGUUGUUAAAGCGGGGGAUCGCAAGAUCUCGCGCCUGAAGAGGAGCCUGCGGCGGAUUAGCUAGUUGGUAGGGUAAUGGCCUACCAAGGCGACGAUCCGUAGCCGGCCUGAGAGGGCGGUCGGCCACACUGACACUGACAUACGGGUCAGACUCCUACGGGAGGCAGCAGUCGGGAAUUUUGGGCAAUGGGCGAAAGCCUGACCCAGCAACGCCGCGUGAAGGAUGAAAUCCCUCGGGAUGUAAACUUCGCAAGAACAGGAAGAAUAAGUUUGUGCUAACACCACAAGCGAUGACGGUACUGUUUGUAAGCUCCGGCUAACUCCGUGCCAGCAGCCGCGGUAAUACGGGGGGAGCAAGCGUUGUUCGGAUUUACUGGGCGUAAAGGGCGCGUAGGCGGCCGCCGCAAGUCAGAUGUGAAAUCUCCGAGCUUAACUCGGAAAGGUCAACUGAUACUGCGGGGCUAGAGUGCGGAAGGGGCAACUGGAAUUCUUGGUGUAGCGGUGAAAUGCGUAGAUAUCAAGAGGAACACCUGCGGCGAAGGCGGGUUGCUGGGCCGACACUGACGCUGAGGCGCGAAAGCUAGGGGAGCGAACGGGAUUAGAUACCCCGGUAGUCCUAGCCUUAAACGAUGAAUGCUUGGUGUCUGGGGUUAUAUAGUCCCCGGGUGCCGUCGCUAACGCUUUAAGCAUUCCGCCUGGGGAGUACGGUCGCAAGAC
rnacentral:rRNA from 1 species